ACCCGAAGCCGGUGGCCCAACCCCUUGUGGGAGGAGCCGUCGAAGGUGGGAUUGGCGAUUGGGACG
rnacentral:rRNA from 1 species